rnacentral:rRNA from 1 species
UACGUAGGUGGCAAGCGUUGUCCGGAUUUAUUGGGAUUAAAGGGUGCGUAGGCGGCUUAUUAAGUCAGUGGCGAAAUACUCUAGCUCAACUAGAGGGGUGCCAUUGAUACUGAUGAGCUUGAGUACAGAUGAGGUAGGCGGAAUUGACGGUGUAGCGGUGAAAUGCUUAGAUAUCGUCAAGAACACCUAUAGCGAAGGCAGCUUACUAGGCUGUAACUGACGCUGAGGCACGAAAGUGUGGGGAUCAAACAGG